GAUGAACGCUGGCGGCGUGCCUAAUACAUGCAAGUCGAGCGAGUGGAUUAAGAGCUUGCUCUUAUGAAGUUAGCGGCGGACGGGUGAGUAACACGUGGGUAACCUGCCCAUAAGACUGGGAUAACUCCGGGAAACCGGGGCUAAUACCGGAUAACAUUUUGAACCGCAUGGUUCGAAAUUGAAAGGCGGCUUCGGCUGUCACUUAUGGAUGGACCCGCGUCGCAUUAGCUAGUUGGUGAGGUAACGGCUCACCAAGGCAACGAUGCGUAGCCGGACUGAGAGGGUGAUCGGCCACACGGGGGCUGAGACACGGCACAGACUCCUACGGGAGGCAGCAGUAGGGAAUCUUCCGCAAUGGACGAAAGUCUGACGGGGCAACGCCGCGUGAGUGAUGAAGGCUUUCGGGUCGUAAAACUCUGUUGUUAGGGAAGAACAAGUGCUAGUUGAAUAAGCUGGCACCUUGACGGUACCUAACCAGAAAGCCACGGCUAACUACGUGCCAGCAGCCGCUGUAA
rnacentral:rRNA from 1 species